CCUUAAAUAUCGCAAUUCAAAUUUUAAUUAUGAUAACUUCCAUAAUAAACCAUUUCAUCUAUCUCUUACUCUCUCUCUCUCCCAAUCUCUCAAUCCUCUACACGGUUCCUCUCAAGUGUCGAAAUUUCCCCAUUUCAUCUAUCUCUCACUCUCUCCCCCAAUCUCUCAAUCCUCUACACCAUUCAUUCAUUUCACUUCCGGCAAAUUAGAAUACAAGCCACGUCCGGCCACAUCAAGUAUUAUAUAAUACAGUCGACCAUUUUUGCCCUAAUUUAUGUGACAUCUGAAAUGGAGAAGUCGAAGGCCACGAAGUUGGUUAUCAAUGUCGAAGAUACUUCCGAACGUAGAAGCAAGAGAAAAUCCGAGGUUAGCUCCAAAAAAACACCACCUAAUAAGCAACCAACGUCUCGGACUGCGAAGAAAUUGCGCUCGAAAAAGGAUUGGCGAUUCAUCAUAUCAAAGGAACGAUGGGAUUACGACUUCGGUCAGCAAGGGUGUGCUUUCGAGUAUUCAAGCAAAAUUAUCUGACCGACAGAAGCUCAUUAUGAGGGGAACAUGCUUUGCCCAUUUUCUCGACUGCCAAUUACAUUGUGGUACAACCGCAAUUAAUUCAUUACUUCCUCUUGCAGUAGGCCCAUCAACCUAAUUCUGAAGAGAUGUGGUUUUUAGUUGUUGGGCAUUAUGUUAGAUUCUCUAUAACUGAGUUUUGCAUAGGCACGGGACUGAGAUGUUAUGGCAAUAGUGACACGGCCAUUUUCGAAAAUAGACCGUCAUACCUGAAGAAAAAGUACUUUUCUCAAGUGGAUACUGUGACACACGAAGACGUGAAGUCCACAUUCAUAUCUGCGUGCCAAAUGCCGGAUCUGGAUCUUGUUGAAAGUCUCUCGGAUCGUAAUGUUGCACUCAUUAGUAUCAUGUACUUCAUUACUGCCUACUUAUUUCCUGGAGAUUAUAAGAAAGUGGUUGACAAUUACUUGUUCACGCUUGUUGAGGACUUCCUUGCGCUGAAUAGUUUCCAUAGGGAAAGUUGCUGUUUGAGAUUACCUUGAGUUCUUUGAAAGAUGCUUUGAGUCGACAAAUCGCACACUAUAGGCUACAAGGUAUGUUGGUAGCCUUUCAAGCAUGGAUCUAUGAAACCUUCCCUGACCUAGAUAAAGUUAUUGUCACAAGAGUAUCAAGGACGCACCCUCGAAUAAAAAACUGGAAUGCAAAUGAGCAACCUUCUGCAUCUAAGUUAGAGGAGUUGGGCUGUUUCAACAAGCUUAAUAUUGAAAUAUGUGACCUGGUACCUACUGAAGCUGAAAUGGCAAUGCCAUACAUGGAUGGCGUGCAACAUAACAAACCAAUUCAACCAGAGUUGUCAUGGGGCAGCCACCGAAAGGAAAGCAGGAAGGGAAAGUCCGUUAACCCUGCACACAUGAGUAAAGAAUCAGUGCCUUUGGUAUCGGACAUUGGUGUUAGACAUGCUCACAUUACAGAUGAUGAUGACGAUUUCGUGGAUCCUUCAUGACGAUGUGAGGUGACAUCCCAUCAGGAAACACCCCGUGCUGAUAAAGGCCUUUCAGGUCCCCAACAUUCUCCAAACGAAGAACAUCAUGGAAUGCAAGAGAGUGCUGUAAAAUUCUAUUCAUGUCUGUUCGAAUGUUUUCAAAUUGUGGUCAUAGUUCACUUAAUACAAGUCACAAUUCCUUUCUUUUGGUCACAGGCAUGUUUUUGAAGGUUACAUGUAACUAUUUAUCUUAAUCAAGCUUCAACUAGUGGCCACAGUUCACUUGGUACAGGUCACAGUUCCUUUCUUUUGGUCACAGGCAUGUUUUUGAAGGUCACAUGUAACUAUUUAUCUUAAUCAUGCUUCAACUAGUGGCCACAGUUCACUUAGUACAGGUUACAGUUCCUUUAUUUUGGUCACAUGCAUGUUUUUGAAGGUCACAUGUAACUAUUUAUUUUAAUCAUGCUUACAGGUGCUUUACGAUUUGAAUGUGCAAAUAUCAGAAAUGAAGUCACAGAAUAAAGUAUUAACCGUGGAGAUGAACGCCAUCAAGUCACAGAUGUUGAGCCUCGACUCUGAUCAGGCAAAAAAGAUAAUUGAAAUCAUCCUAAUGUAAGGACAAUUAAAACGUGACAUGAUCGAGAUUAGGACAAACAUGCAAUUCAUGUCUGAAUCCGUGACUGCAAUGAUCUCAACCUCAAUGGAUGAGAUUUUAAGGCAUUCAAUGACAGGAAAGGUUGUCCAGUUAAUGAGUACGAAGAAAUCGAAGCUGCUGUUGUUGGAGGUGAAGAAAGUCAUGUUGUCGGAGGAUUCGAGAAGAUCGACGAGGUGGAAAAACUGCAACCUACUGUCGACGGGAAAGGGAAGGGAAAGGUCGACCCAACUGACGAUGUUGCCUUUUCAUGUAGUCUUCAACUGCCAUCAUUUGACCUGGGUAUCGGAUACACACAACCGGAUGAUUUGCAAUCUACAGAAAUUCAGAAGUAGGUAGAUGCUGUCAUAUCUGAUGUGAUCACAGCAUCCAAAAAUGUUGACGAAGAGGGAUCACCAACUCCUGAACUGGCUUCUGAAUUACCAGUUAAGCGGGUUUCAAGGCUUGCGAGGAUAUUGAGGUCUCCAUUUGUUGCCGGGGAAGGAAAGGUAUCGCGGCAUGACGGUAAUGUUAUUGUAUUUGGAAAUUAUAAAGACCAUGUUGAAGAAGC